GACGAACGCUGGCGGCGUGCUUAACACAUGCAAGUCGAACGGAAAGGCCCUGCUUUUGUGGGGUGCUCGAGUGGCGAACGGGUGAGUAACACGUGAGUAACCUGCCCUUGACUUUGGGAUAACUUCAGGAAACUGGGGCUAAUACCGGAUAGGAGCUCCUGCUGCAUGGUGGGGGUUGGAAAGUUUCGGCGGUUGGGGAUGGACUCGCGGCUUAUCAGCUUGUUGGUGGGGUAGUGGCUUACCAAGGCGUUGACGGGUAGCUGGCCUGAGAGGGUGACCGGCCCAACGGGACCUGAGAGACGGUCCAGACGCAUAUGGGAGGCAGGAGUGGGGAAUAUUGGACAAUGGGCGCGAGCCUGAUCCAGCCAUACCGGGUGGGUGAAGAAGGCCUGCGGGUUGGAAAGAGCUGUUGUUGGGAAAGAAAAGCAGCAGGUUAAAACCCCGCUGUUGUGACGGUACCAAAAGAAUAAGGAGCGGCUAACUUCGU
rnacentral:rRNA from 1 species